GAUGAACGCUGACGGCGUGCCUAAUACAUGCAAGUCGAGCGAACGGACGAGAAGCUUGCUUCUCUGAUGUUAGCGGCGGACGGGUGAGUAACACGUGGAUAACCUACCUAUAAGACUGGGAUAACUUCGGGAAACCGGAGCUAAUACCGGAUAAUAUUUUGAACCGCAUGGUUAAAAAGUGAAAGACGGUCUUGCUGUCACUUAUAGAUGGAUCCGCGCUGCAUUAGCUAGUUGGUAAGGUAACGGCUUAUCAAGGCAACGAUGCAUAGCCGACCUGAGAGGGUGAUCGGCCACACUGGAACUGAGACACGGUCCAGACUCCUACGGGAGGCAGCAGUAGGGAAUCUUCCGCAAUGGGCGAAAGCCUGACGGAGCAACGCCGCGUGAGUGAUGAAGGUCUUCGGAUCGUAAAACUCUGUUAUUAGGGAAGAACAUAUGUGUAAGUAACUGUGCACAUCUUGACGGUACCUAAUCAGAAAGCCACGGCUAACUACGUG
rnacentral:rRNA from 1 species